rnacentral:rRNA from 1 species
UAAACGAUUUAAUCGUGAAACCGCGAAUGGCUCAUUAUAACAGCUAUAAUUUACUUGAUCUUGACACAAUCCUACUUGGAUAACUGUGGUAAUUCUAGAGCUAAUACAUGCAUUAAAGCUCUGACCUCACGGGAAGAGUGCAUUUAUUAGAACAAAACCAAGCGGCUUCGGCUGUUUCUGGUUGACUCAUAGUAACUGAGCUGAUCGCAUGGUCUUGCACCGGCGACGUGUCUUUCAAGUAUCUGCCGUAUCAACUUUCGAUGGUAGUGUAUCUGACUACCAUGGUGAUCACGCGUAACGGAGAAUAAGGGUUCGGCUCCGGAGAGUUCGCCUGAGAAAUCGCGAACACAUCUAAGGAAGGCAGCAGGCGCGAAAAUUACCCACUCUCAGCACGAGGAGGUAGUGACGAAAAAUAACGAGACCGUUCUCUUAUGAGGCCGGUCAUCGGAAUGGGUACAAUUUAAACCCUUUAACGAGUAUCUAUGAGAGGGCAAGUCUGGUGC